AUUCGAGCUCCACUCUUAGGCAUAAACUUCCUUGCUCCUUUAGGAUCCCGAAGGAUGCCGAGUCCUUUGGAUAAACUUACUGUAGCUAUCAUGCUGGGGGAGCCUAAGACUUCACUUCCAGCCUUGCUUCUGCUAAAAGUUAAGUUUUCUCGAAUACUUUAUGACAGCGCAUUUGCCGUGUAGAGUGGUUGAUCAUUUUAAGAGAGCUCUGUUCAGCAAGCUCUUUUGCAAGAGUAGGUCAGUGUUCGAGCCGUUUGGGGAAAAUGGAAGAAGAGAGUGUUUGGCAUCUGUAGUACUUCCUGGGGGCAGAGCAAUGUCUCAUCAUUUCUUCUCUGAGACUCACUUCUCUCCUAUUGCUGGUGGAGUGGAGUUGGAGUCUUUGCCUGAGGAUUUUACUAGUCUGAGCACAUGUGUGUCCCAAAGGCUGGAACUCCUCUCUGGUUUUGGGUGGGGAAUUCCCAAAUGGUGUAAGAAAGCUUUGUGGAAUCAUUCCAGAGAGCCAACAGGUAAGCUGUGACUUUGCUCAUGUAUAAGAAGGUUUUUCACUUUUUCACAGCUACAGAUCAUCUCAAGGUGAGUGCUGCUUUCCUGGGGAGUUUUGGUGGUCAAGUUUCGUCAGUUUGGGGGUGGUGUCUGUCAUCUACUUUGACGUCCUUCCUUUAGAUGUUGUAAAUCUGUGAAGUUAUGAAUCAGAAUUUUUAACCAGGUGUACCAGAACUUGAGCAUUCAAAUAGGGAUUGCUCUAUUAAAAGUUGCUCUAUCUUAAAAGGUUAUGCUUGUAUUUCAUUGCCGCUCCUUUGCCAGAACCGCCUUAUAACUUCUGUUUUGGCAGUGAAUAUAUGUCAUAUGAGAAAAUUGGUCUCAUUCAGUAGUCGUACCCUAUGUUUAACCACAAAUCAUCUUACCUGGCUUGGUAGCUCACCUCAUGUACCAGACCAGGCUCUGAAUGGUCUCCUGUGACCUCUCAAAGUGACUUACCUUGAGGGGAGGAAUACCUGCUGCUACUAGAGCACCAGGAAAGAACUUGCGUGUUCUAAAGGUCACUCAAACAGAGAAGUUCCCAAAAUGCUCUGCACUUUAGUAUUGCCAUUGGAAUCAGUGUGCAGCCUUCCAGCGUGGCUGCUGGGAGGUGAGGCAGCCCCCUGCAGGUCUGAACUCUGGUGUAGUCUUCUAAAAACGGGGCCCUUAUUUCCAGUUUCUUCCUGGUAUGCAACAGGUAGUUUCUCAAGUAACAAGAUUUUGUCAUUUAUUCAACAAGCAUUUAUCGAGCAUCGUCUGCCAAAGGCAGUGUGCAGUGGAAACACAGUGAUGGGACACUUGUCAUUCAGUUCUCUGGGCAAGUUCACCAUCUUGUGGGUCAAAGAACCGAAGAGGUAGUUCUAAACUUCGCCAAGAAUCCUCAAUUACAAGGUGAUUGUGUGAGAAGAACAACUGAGUAAAAACCCUGAACUGGGAGUUGGUGAAGAUGUGACAAGAGGACCCUCCAUGGCAUUGUCUGCAUUUGAUAGGCUGCGUGUUCUUCCUAGCACCUCACCUAAAGUGUGCACCCAGGUGGUUGCCAGAUUGAAUUCAUCUCAAAACAGGACGUAGAUGCCCAGUGAGACCAUGAACCUGCCCAGCCCAGGGCCUGGAACACAAACCAUCUUCUGACCCCCAGUGACACUUCUCUUCUGUGCAGCAAGAACUGUAGGUACCGAUGGAUGUGGCCGAGAGCCCUGAACGGGACCCUCGCUCUCCAGAGGACGAAGAAGAGGAGCAGCAGGGGCUCUCGGACGAUGACAUUCUGAGGGAGAGUGGGUCUGAUCAGGAUUUAGACGGAGCUGGGGGGAGGGCUUCUGAUUUGGAGGAUGAAGACAAUGCCGCCCCGGGACUGAGCCAGGAGGAGGAGGAGAGUCACUCUGACGAGGAGGACCAGGACCAGGAGUCCGAGGCUCAGGAUCUGAGCAGGGGCCCCACGAGCCCCCCGCAUGUGGAGGAGGGGGACGGAGGGGAGGAAGAGCACACAAGCGACCUGAGGGACGAAGCCUCGUCAGUCACCAGGGACCUGGAUGAGCAUGAGUUAGACUAUGAUGAGGAGGUCCCUGAGGAGCCGGCCCCCGCUGGGCAGGAGGACGAGGCCGAGAAGGCUGGCGCCGAGGAUGAUGAGGAGAAGGGAGAAGGAGCUCCUGGGGACGAGGGGGCUACAGGCGUUCACAUUGUGGAAGACAAGGAGCCCCUGGAGACCGCCAAGGAGAAAAACAAGGAGGAUGAUGAUGGGGAGCUCGACGAUGGGGAGCUGGACGUGAGUGCCUGGGCUGCCAGGGCUGGUGGGGGGAUGGGGAGGGUAAUGAGUCAAGGAGACAGGACACAUGAGGACUGGGAAGUCAGGACUGUUCUGGGAGCAGUCACUAUGGUAAUUAGGGAGUGCCAAAAACCAAGAAGGAGGAAUAGGCUAGAUUCAGAAAACUUGGUUCUACCACUUGGUAGCUGGCAGAAGUUUGUGGACCCUCCCCUGUCUGCUGCUUCUGGGUGGAGUGUAUUAAAAUGUUUAACCCCAAUUUUGUUUACUUGAGCUCUAGGUUUGUGUAACAAUUAAAAAGAUCAUUUUUCCCUUUCUUUUUGCAAUCUUUAAAUAAUACUUGAGGUCACGUUCUACUAAAACCAUCGUGGAUUUUCAGUUCCUGUUAAGUUCUUGAGACUGAUGAGCUCCAGAAGCUUCCUUCGAGUUUUGUCUGUUCUUCCAGGUUAUCUUUGU